rnacentral:rRNA from 1 species
UACGUAGGGGGCGAGCGUUGUCCGGAUUUAUUGGGCGUAAAGAGCUCGUAGGCAGCUUGGCAAGUCGGGUGUGAAAACUCUAGGCUCAACCUGGAGACGCCACUCGAUACUGCCAUGGCUAGAGUCCGGUAGGGGACCACGGAAUUUCUGGUGUAGCGGUGAAAUGCGCAGAUAUCAGAAGGAACACCGGUGGCGAAGGCGGUGGUCUGGGCCGGAACUGACGCUGAGGAGCGAAAGCGUGGGGAGCGAACAGG